UUCUGUGGCUUAGUUGGUUGAAGCGGUGGUCUAGCGAAUACGGAGUCGUGGGUUCGAAUCCCACCAGAA
rnacentral:tRNA from 1 species